rnacentral:rRNA from 1 species
CAGCCGCCGCGGGAACACGUAGGUGGCAAGCGUUGUCCGGAAUUAUUGGGCGUAAAGGGCUCGCAGGCGGUUUCUUAAGUCUGAUGUGAAAGCCCCCGGCUCAACCGGGGAGGGUCAUUGGAAACUGGGAAACUUGAGUGCAGAAGAGGAGAGUGGAAUUCCACGUGUAGCGGUGAAAUGCGUAGAGAUGUGGAGGAACACCAGUGGCGAAGGCGACUCUCUGGUCUGUAACUGACGCUGAGGAGCGAAAGCGUGGGGAGCGAACAGGAUUAGAUACCCCAGUAGUCCCUGUCUCUUAUAC